UACGUAGGUGGCGAGCGUUGUCCGGAUUUACUGGGCGUAAAGGGCGAGUAGGCGGUAACACAAGUCAGAUGUGAAAGGCGAGGGCUCAACUCUCGGAUUGCAUUUGAAACUGUGUAACUUGAGUGCGGUAGAGGAAAGUGGAAUUCCCAGUGUAGCGGUGAAAUGCGUAGAUAUUGGGAGGAACACCAGUGGCGAAGGCGACUUUCUGGGCCGUAACUGACGCUGAGGCGCGAAAGCGUGGGGAGCGAACAGGAUUAGAUACCCUGGUAGU
rnacentral:rRNA from 1 species